rnacentral:rRNA from 1 species
GACGAACGCUGGCGGCGUGCCUAAUACAUGCAAGUAGGACGCAGUUGCGAACGGGUGAGUAACGCGUAGGUAACUGCCUCUUAGAGGGGGAUAACUAUUGGAAACGAUAGCUAACACCGCAUACUAGUAGAUGGACCUGCGUUGUAUUAGCUAGUAGGUAGGGUAAUGGACUACCUAGGCGACGCUACAUAGCCGAACUGGGAAGGUGAUCGGCCAAGCUUGGUCUGAGACACGGCCCAGACUCCUACGGUGAGCAGCAGUAAGGAAUCUUCGGCAAUGGGAGGAACCCUGAACGAGCAACGCGGCGUGAGUGAAGAAGGUUUUCGGAUCGUAAAGCUCUGUUGUUAAGGAAGCGGUACUUAACCAGAAAGGGACGGCUAACUACGUGCCAGCCGCCGCGGUAAUAC